CUUGAGGACAAGGCUGGGACGGUGCAGCAUUUAAACCUGUGAGGUGACACAUACGGAGGUCAACAGGUUAUAAGGAUUUAUUUCGACUGCAAGGUUAAAAAAGAGCUGUCUCGAUGUUGUCCCGGACGAGUUUCCAGUGAACACCGGAGGGUUUGUACACACAAAACAGACCUUCCAGUCGCCGAAACAUGCGCACAGCUGCAGUUGCCAUUGUUGGUAAUAUCAGGUCAUUCCGAUUUCUUGAAAAAUGUCUUUUUUCGAUUUCUCUCUCGCGGUUUUCGAAAGCAGGGUAUGCCUUUCCUCCACUUGCGUCUAGGCAUGUGGCUGGCAGCGUAGGUUCUCACAGCUGCUGUGUGUCCACACCGCCGCCUGCUGUACUGGAUGAAUGAAUGGCGUGCAUGAGAGGAGAGUAGGAAUGAACGGCGAGAGAGCGACAACACCAGGAGAUGGCAACAGCUGCCAUGAAGCCCCGGAGACGAACGAGAGGAGGAGGAGGAGGA